AUUCCAGUGAGGAGAUGAGAAAGCCAAGAGGAGCAGCAAAGAGCAACAGCUUGUAGGCCCUUGGGUUGGGCUAUCCUCAGAAGCACGUAAGUGCCCUGUGUCUGGGGUACCCAGUGUCCAGAAGUAGCCUGUGAAAUGAGGCACAGCACCUGGCCAAGCUUAUCCCAUUUUUCCCUCCCGGCAGCCCUGUGAUAGCUUUUUGGAAUUCAGAACGUGGCUGUUGCCAGGUGGGGCCGGCCGGGGGCCAGCAAGCUGCUGCUUGCACCUCAGAAGAUCCCACGUUAGAACCGAAGGGGAAACCUUUCCGUAGGCUGUGCAGGUAAUAGCGACUCUUAAGAGGCCUCCCAUCCCACUUUUGCCCUGCUCCAAAAUGAAAAUGUAUUUAGGUCUGUUCCUGGGAAACAUCUUACACUGGCUCCCCAAGCUCUCCUAAGGAAGUCGGAGCUGACCCCCAGGCCAGGCAUCUGCGUGUGAGACCAGAUCCCUCUGCUCUAGGCCAACCGACAGCUGCUCAAGGUGAAUGGCCAGCACCGGUCUUCGCUUCAUUGUUUGUGUGCGUCUCCUCCUGCCAUUGGAACUCCUUAAGGGCUGAAGUUUUUACUUGCUUCCUGUGCUUGUGUGCCGACCGUGCUGUGCUAGGCCUGGCACACAGGCCCUCAAUAAA